AUACGGAGGGUGCAAGCGUUAUUCGGAAUCACUGGGCGUAAAGGACGCGUAGGCGGGUUGGCAAGUCAGAUGUGAAAUCCUACAGCUUAACUGUAGAACUGCAUUGGAAACUGGUUACCUAGAGUAUGGGAGGGGGAGAUGGAAUUAGUGGUGUAGGGGUAAAAUCCGUAGAUAUCACUAGGAAUACCUAAAGCGAAGGCGAUCUCCUGGAACAUUACUGACGCUAGGGUGUGAAAGCGUGGGGAGCAAACGGGAUUAGAAACCCCAGUAGUCC
rnacentral:rRNA from 1 species